rnacentral:rRNA from 1 species
UACAUGGGGUGCAAACGUUGCUCGGAAUUAUUGGGCGUAAAGCGCGCGCAGGCGGUCCUUUAAGUCUGAUGUGAAAGCCCACGGCUCAACCGUGGAGGGUCAUUGGAAACUGGGGGACUUGAGUGCAGGAGAGAAGAGUGGAAUUCCACGUGUAGCGGUGAAAUGCGUAGAUAUAGGAAGGAACACCAGUGGCGAAGGCGACCACCUGGACUGAUACUGACACUGAGGUGCGAAAGCGUGGGGAGCAAACAGG